GGGGCUGUAGCUCAGAUGGAUAGAGCGGAGGUUUCCUAAACCUUAGGCCGGGGGUUCGACUCCCUCCAGCCCCACCA
rnacentral:tRNA from 1 species